GAUAGCCAAAAAUUACCCUUGGGUCAAGGGUGGGGUUGGUAAUGACGCGGACAUCGCCGCCACCGGGUGCCCAAGUGUCGUAGAGGCCACCAAAGAACAUUGCUUUGGCCACCAAAAGUAAAGCACCAAUACCGAGGACGAUCAGGUGGAAACCGAGGAUCGUCGUCAUUUUGUUUUUAUCUUUCCA
rnacentral:antisense_RNA from 1 species